UGGGGAAUCUUGCACAAUGGAGGAAACCCUGAUGCAGCGAUGCCGCGUGAGUGAAGAAGGCCCUUGGGUUGUAAAGCUCUUUUGUCGGGAAAGAUAAUGACUGUACCCGAAGAAUAAGGUCCGGCUAACUUCGUGCCAGCAGCCGCGGUAAUA
rnacentral:rRNA from 1 species